rnacentral:rRNA from 1 species
AAACGACUCUCGGCAACGGAUAUCUCGGCUCUCGCAUCGAUGAAGAACGUAGCGAAAUGCGAUACUUGGUGUGAAUUGCAGAAUCCCGUGAACCAUCGAGUCUUUGAACGCAAGUUGCGCCGAAGCCAUUAGGUUGAGGGCACGUCUGCCUGGGCGUCACG